AAGGGAGAAAUUCAUUCGCGUUUCGACGUAGGCGUCGGACGGGGUCGUGUUGACGGAAACACGUUUCUUUCGGAACGAGUUUUCGCGCCCCCCGUUUCGUUUCGAACCGGCGACGAACGCGUGCACUUUUCUCCUGGUAGGACGUCGCGAUCCGUCGGGUGUCGGUCUACGACUUGCGGUGGAGACCGUCCGUCGUCUUCGGACGUACGGGACGGACCCGCUCGUUCUGGCCGACUCGCUCGACGGUAUACGAAAGGUCGGAGGCCGCUCGUUUUCAAUAAAGGAGCGUUCGACUCGUCGCAAGCGCGCCACGUGCGUCGGCACGCGGACCUAGUGCCGCGUUCGACCUCUGGUGACUGUUGGCGACGACGUUCUCGAACAGACCUCAACGCACGUCGAUUUUUAAUCGAAUGUGUGUGUGACCGAUCGGCGACGCUAUAGCUUUGGGUACUUUCAGGACCCGUCUUGAAACACGGACCAAGGAGUCUAGCAUGUACGCGAGUCAUUGGGACUCGCUAAACCUAAAGGCGUAAUGAAAGUGAAGGUCUUCCUCGCGAAGACCGAGGGAAGACGGACGGUUGUCUCAAACCACCCUCAAAAGUGGGACCGUCCUGCAUUCCCGGGGCGUCUCUUUCACAUUGCGUGAAGAGGCGCACCAAGAGCGUACACGCUGGGACCCGAAAGAUGGUGAACUAUGCCUGGUCAGGACGAAGUCAGGGGAAACCCUGAUGGAGGUCCGUAGCGAUUCU
rnacentral:rRNA from 1 species